AUUGAGAUUUUGGCAAAAACCCACAUGACAUUUGCGUCUGCAGAGUAGACUUGGAAGGCAUGCACCUGGAGGCCAAGUGGUAUUCUCUGGACUCUCUGUCCUUGCAUUUGCGUGGCUGCCCCGAGGACUCCCUUCUUCCUGGAUGUGAAGCAGAGGCACGGUGGGGCUGACUGAGAGGCUGAAAUGUGCUUCUCUUCACAGUUACAUAGUUUUCUUCUAAUUAAAAAUAAAUUUUAAGUGGUAGAUUAUGAAAAUUCCAUUUGAAUCAAGAUUUUAAAAAUUCAAUAUCAAACCAGUUGUUACUGUCUUCACUCUCCGUUGUUUACGAUUGUGUGCUUUUCCCUGAAUAAAGAAUGACUGGAG
rnacentral:lncRNA from 1 species